GACGAACGCUGGCGGCGUGCUUAACACAUGCAAGUCGAACGGAAAGGCCCUGCGCUUGUUGGGUUCUCGUUUGGCGAACGGGUGAGUAACACGUGAGUAACCUGCCCUUGUCUUUGGGAGAACUUCAGGAAACUGGGGCGAAUACCGGAUAGGAGCUCCUGCUGCAUGGGGUGGGAUGGAAAGUUUCGGCGUUGGGGGAUGGACUCGCUGCUUAUGAGCUUGUUUGUGGGGUAGUUGCGUACCAAGGCUUCGACGGGUAGGCGGCCUGAGAGCGUGACCGGCCACAUUGGGACUGAGAUACGGACCAGACUCCUACGGGAGGCAGCAGUGGGGAGUAUUGCGCAGUGGGCGGAAGCCUGAUGCAGAGACGCCGCGUGCGGGAUACUGGCCUUCGGGUUGUGAACCGCUUUGGAAUGUGACGAAGCGUGCGUGACGGUACUGGGUAAAGAAGCAACGGCUAACUACGUG
rnacentral:rRNA from 1 species